UACGUAGGGGGCAAGCGUUGUCCGGAAUCAUUGGGCGUAAAGAGCGUGUAGGCGGCCAGAUAAGUCCGCUGUGAAAUCUCGAGGCUCAACUUCGAGCUGUCGGUGGAAACUGUCUGGCUAGAGUCCGGAAGAGGAGAAUGGAAUUCCUGGUGUAGCGGUGAAAUGCGCAGAUAUCAGGAAGAACACCCGUGGCGAAGGCGGUUCUCUGGGACGGUACUGACGCUGAGACGCGAAAGCGUGGGAG
rnacentral:rRNA from 1 species